rnacentral:rRNA from 1 species
ACUCCUGCGGGAGGCAGCAGUGGGGAAUAUUGGACAAUGGGCGAAAGCCUGAUCCAGCAAUGCCGCGUGAGUGAUGAAGGCCUUAGGGUUGUAAAGCUCUUUUACCCGGGAUGAUAAUGACAGUACCGGGAGAAUAAGCCCCGGCUAACUCCGUGCCAGCAGCCGCGGUAAUAAGGAGGGGGCUAGCGUUGUUCGGAAUUACUGGGCGUAAAGCGCGCGUAGGCGGCUUUGUAAGUUAGAGGUGAAAGCCCGGAGCUCAACUUCGGAAUUGCCAUUAAGACUGCAUCGCUAGAAUCGUGGAGAGGUGAGUGGAAUUCCGAGUGUAGAGGUGAAAUUCGUAGAUAUUCGGAAGAACACCAGUGGCGAAGGCGACUCACUGGACACGUAUUGACGCUGAGGUGCGAAAGCGUGGGGAGCAAACAGGAUUAGAAACCCUGGUAGUCCC